ACUUAAAUUGAAGAGUUUGAUCAUGGCUCAGAUUGAACGCUGGCGGCAGGCCUAACACAUGCAAGUCGAGCGGUAGCACAGAGAGCUUGCUCUCGGGUGACGAGCGGCGGACGGGUGAGUAAUGUCUGGGAAACUGCCUGAUGGAGGGGGAUAACUACUGGAAACGGUAGCUAAUACCGCAUAACGUCGCAAGACCAAAGUGGGGGACCUUCGGGCCUCAUGCCAUCAGAUGUGCCCAGAUGGGAUUAGCUAGUAGGUGGGGUAACGGCUCACCUAGGCGACGAUCCCUAGCUGGUCUGAGAGGAUGACCAGCCACACUGGAACUGAGACACGGUCCAGACUCCUACGGGAGGCAGCAGUGGGGAAUAUUGCACAAUGGGCGCAAGCCUGAUGCAGCCAUGCCGCGUGUGUGAAGAAGGCCU
rnacentral:rRNA from 1 species